GCAAGACCACACUGGCUCAGCUUUUGUAUAAUGAUGGGAGAGUGAAAGGACACUUUCACCUGAAAGCAUGGGUUUGUGUUUCAGAGGAGUUUUGUCUUCUCAAGGUGACAAAAUCAAUUCUCGAGGGAAUCAGAUCUGCGACCUCUUCUGAUAUGCAAAGCGAGAACCUAGAUUUGCUUCAGCAAAAACUGAAAGAGAGCCUUGGUGACAACAGAUUUCUACUCGUCCUGGAUGAUGUUUGGGAGAAAUGUCCUAGUGAAGGGGAAGGGUUACGAAUUCCGCUCCUAGCUGCUUGGGAAGGGUUACGAAUUCCACUCCUAGCUGCUGAGGAAGGAAGCAAGGUUGUUGUGACCACUCGCAAUCGAAACGUUGCAAAAAUCAUGCGUGCAGAUCAUACUCAUCCUCUGGAAGGGUUGUCCCAGGCACAUUGUUGGUCCUUAUUUCAAAAACUUGCAUUUGAAGAUGGAGACUCCAGCCCAUAUUCUCAGCUUGAGUCAAUAGGCAAAAAGAUUGUGGCUAAAUGCCAAGGAUUGCCUUUAGCGGUCAAAGCACUUGGGAGUCUCUUGUAUUCUAAAACUGACCGAAGGGAAUGGGAACAAAUUUUGGAGAGUGAAAUAUGGGGCUUACAACAUCAUCAAAUCCUUUCCUUGGUUGAUAUUGAGUUAUCGAGAUCUCCCAUUGCAUCUGAAACGAUGUUUUGCCUAUUGCUCCAUUUUCCCCAAGGGCCAUGAAUUCGACAGGGAGAAACUGAGUUUACUAUGGAUGGCAGAAGGACUUCUACAAUUUUCAAAAAGUAAUGAAAGAAUGGAAAAGGUAGGGGAGCAUUAUUUUGAUGAACUUCUUUCAAAGUCAUUUUUUCAAAAAUCUGUUUCCGAAAAAUCAUGCUUUGUCAUGCAUGAUCUCAUACAUGACUUGGCUCAAUACAUAUCUAGAGAAUUUUGUAUUCGAAUUGAAGAUGAUAAGGUGCAAGAAAUCUCUGAGAACACUCGUCACUCUUUGAUCUUUAAGAGUAACUUUCAUGGAAUGGUUGGGUUUAAGGGGUUUGAGGCCCUUGAGAAAAUAAAAUGUCUUCGAACAUACUUUGAGUUAAGGAGAAUGGAAUGGAAUAUUUAUAAACUAAGUAAAAGGGUUGAUUUACUCAUUAUAUUUUCCAAAUGGAGGUACUUACGAGUGUUGUCAUUGUAUAGUUAUAUUCUUAAUGAGUUGCCCGAUUUAAUAAGCGAAUUAAAAUAUUUGCGUUAUUUGGAUAUCUCAUAUACAAAGAUUAAAAAAUUGUCUGAUUCAGUGUGUUAUUUGUACCAUUUACAAACGAUGAUAUUACCAGGACAUGACUAUUUCAUCGAAUUGCCUUCAAGGAUGGAUAAAUUGAUUAAUUCGUGUUAUCUUGAUAUAAGUGGAUGGAGAGAAAUGCCAAGUCACAUUAGUCGAUUAAAAAAUUUAUGAAAGUUGAGUAAUUUUAUUGUGGGCCAAAAAGGUGGAUUAAGAAUUGGUGAAUUAGGAGAGCUUUAAGAUAUUGGGGGAAGACUUGAAAUUUCAGAAAUGCAGAAUGUGGUGUGUGCUAGGGAUGCAUUGGGAGCGAACAUGAAGGAUAAGAGGCACCUUGAUGAACUAGCCUUGAAAUGGAGCGUCGUAGCUACUAAUGAUGUUAUACAAAGUGGCGUAUUCAACAACUUGCAGCCUCAUCCAAAUCUGAAGCAGCUUACCAUCGAAAGCUAUCCCGGUAUAACAUUUCCAGACUGGAUAGGAGAUCCUUUAUUCUCCAAUCUUGUGUCUGUAUAUCUUCAUUGGUGCGGCAAUUUCUCAUCAUUGCCAAUGUUUGGGCAGCUACCAUCUCUUAAACAUCUUUCUAUUUUAGGAAUGAUAGGAGUAGAGAAGGUGGGAAGUGAGUUUUAUGGGGAUGCUUCUUCCGCCAUUACAAGUAAGCCCUCAUUCCCAUUCCUACAAACUCUAAGAUUUGAGUGUAUGGACAACUGGGAGAAAUGGUUAUGUUGUGGAUGCGAAUUCCGUCGUCUCCAGGAGCUUUAUUUAAUCCGCUGUCCCAAACUCACAGGGAAAUUACCAGAAGAGCUUUCUUCAUUGAAGAAACUUGAAAUUGAUAGAUGUGAGCGGCUGCUUGUGGCUUCACUCCAAGUUCCUGCCAUCCGUGAAUUGAAGAUGUUGGAUUUUGGUGAAUUGCAGUUGAAAAGGCCAGCCUCCGGCUUCACUGCUCUUCAAACUUCACAUAUUGAAAUUUCAAAUGUGUCUCAGUGGAAGCAACUACCAUUGGAACCGCACAAGCUCAUGAUUACAGACCCUGAUGCUAUAGAGUCUCUACUAGAGGAGGGAAUCCUACAAACCCACACUUCUCCUAUGCAAGAUUUGGAAAUCUGGAGUUGUUGUUUUUCCAGAUCCUUGCACAAAGUUUGUUUACCCACUACAUUGAAAUCACUAAAAAUCUGUGACUCUGACAACCUAGGGUUUCUCCUACCUAAGUUGUUCAGAUGCCAUCACCCAUCUCUUGAAGAUCUGCAUAUCGUCAGUGGUCAAAACGAUUUAUCUCUCUCAUCAUCCUUCUCAUUAUCAUUUUCAUUAGCCAUCUUUCCCAGGUUGAUUCAUUUUGGUAUCGAUGCUCUUAACGGUCUUGAAUCCCUCUGCAUCUCGAUUUCAGAAGAGGAACCCACUUCUCUUCGUUCGUUGGAAAUCUUCAGGUGCGAUGAUCUUGAAUUUAUUGAAUUCCCCGCUCUCGACUCGGCAUGCUAUCGGAUCGUGGAAUGCUCGAAGCUCAAGUGGCUGGGACACACACUCUCAUCCUUGCAGAGAUUGAGCUUAGAAGAUUGUCCACAAUUGUUGUUUCACAAAGAUGGUUUGCCCUCCAACCUACGUCAACUUGAAAUUUGUGAAUGCAACCAACUCUCGCCCCAGGUGGACUGGGGUUUGCAGAGACUGGCCUCUCUUACAGAAUUCAAAAUCGGAGGUGGAUGCCAGGACGUGGAGUCAUUUCCCGAGGAGCUCCUGCUGCCCUCCACAAUAACUACUCUUGAAAUUGAACAUUUUCCAAGUCUCAAGUCUCUGGACAGUAGAGGGCUUCAACAGCUUACCUCGCUCAGAAAAUUAUCCAUCCGUCACUGUCCUCAGCUCCAAUUUAUUCCACAGGAGGGUUUUCAACAUUUUCCUUUUCUUUUGGAAUUGGAGAUGGAAGACUGCCCUAAGCUCCAAUCUUUGAAAGAAGCUGGUCUUCCAAGCCUUGCCUCUCUUAAGCAACUAUACAUCAGGGGAUUACCUGAGCUCCAAUCCUUGAUAGAUGUGGGUCUUCAACACCUCACCUCUCUUGAAAAAUUAUUCAUCUCCGACUGUCCUAAGCUUCAAUCCUUGACAAGAGAGAGACUUCCAGAUUCCCUCUCUUUUCUGGACAUCCAGGAUUGUCCUUUGUUGGAACAACGGUGCCAAUUUGAAGAAGGGCAAGAGUGGGAUUAUAUAGCUCACAUUCCACAAAUAUUCAUCUGUGAUGAGGUAUUGUAACAAAGGUUUAGGCAGGUACUUGUUCUACACUAAAAAUUAUUUUCUUCAGAAAAUCUAUGUUCCAAUUCAUUAACUGGCCAAACUUAUGUUUCAAAAUUUCAAAUGAUCUCAAGAAUUGUGCAUCUACAUAUAUAAUCCAUUUGCUAGUCAUGUUGUUGGGGAUUUGAUUUAACCCUUACAAUUGCCAUAUUCUAAUGGUGCACAUUUGUUCAUUUUAAGAUUCUUUGAAACCAGAGACCUGGAACAAUGAUUUGAAGAGGAGCAGGGGAAGAUUGAUCCCAGGUAGUUUACAUUUCUUGCAUACAACCAAUUCUCAUAUAUCCAAAAAUUGUUCAUCUUUCAUGUCGACGUUUCUCACAUUCUCUGCUUGUAAAGGAACAGAGGAAACCAGGCACAUAUUCUAGUUAACUGCUUGUAAGUAAGUAAUUUUACUUGCUUUGGUUUUUCCUUGCUGCUAUUCUCUCUUCCAGUGUUAGAAAGUGGAGAUUUAAGUCUGCAAGAUUUUUUAUUCCAGUGUUGCAAAACAUAUGUUUGGUAUCAAAAUUACUUAAAUUCUUUCUCUUUUUGCGUUCAGAGUCUCAUAAUCAACUCAACUCUUUUGAAGAAUAUUGGUGGAGAUGGAUGGGUUUGUGCCGCAAGCUUUAUUUGUUUGAUUUAAGAAUUUUUCCAACGAAGAUAAGAAGAGUAAAGAAAAAUUGAUCCUAGGUAAUUCAUAUUUUAACCAGCCAAAAAUCAUAUUUCCAUGACUUCUUCAAUUUACCUUUCAAAGUGCAAAGAUGACUCUUAACCAUCUGUGAAAUAUUUUAAUUACUUUGAUCCUUUUGAGGACCUACCAUGGAUUUGUGCUUGUUGAUCUCUUUCCCAUGCUACAAAAUUGGGGAUUUAACUUUUGAUAUAUUUAUCACAGGGUGUCCUAAUCUUGUGUAUAUUCUUGGAGACUAGGGUGCACAACAUGCUCUGUUUGUUUGAUUUAAAAGUUUUUCCUUAAGCUAGUUGUAACAGGAAUAUGAAAAGGAGCAAGGGAAGAUUAACCACAGGUAGGCAACAUUUUGAACAAUUUGAGACCAGAAUCUAAUGUGGUUUUGCGAAUAUUUGUUUGCAUUUUACUUCCAGAAUGUAAAAUUGUGUGUCUAUUUCUCUUACAGAGGCACAGAGGAAAUCAAUAAGAUCUCAAAUUGCAAGAAUUUCAGGUCACUGAUGCAUGUUUUGGUACCUUACUGAGUAUCACAAACUAUUCAUGGCUGAUGUCCCACAUGUAGUAAGAGACGAUCUGGCUUUCUAAUGACGAGGAUUGCACACCAAUUUACAGUCUUCUUUUCUCCAAAUAGCAUUUGAUGUAUGAGUUAGAUUUAUUGUAACUAGUGAAACACAUGAUUGAAAAUUUGUAAUUACUGUGGUAAUUUUUAUUUUUGUUUUUUAAUUAUUUCAGGUUGGUAUAUUGUUUGAGCAGCUCUACAGAUUUGGUUUCUUGAUUAGCAUGAUUGGGUUUGUUUUCCCACGGGCUAAUGCAUUGGGAACCACUUUUGAUUAUCAGUUUCUAAGGGGCUUUGUGUUUCAGGUAUGCAACAACAAAGACACAUACCACCUUCUGCCUCCCAAUACCCUUCACAAGAUUGGUGCAAAACAUGCUCUGUUUCUUUGGUUUAAGAUUUAUUCCGAGGGUAGGAGUCUGGAACAAAAAUAGAAGAAUGGGGGGAGAUUGACUUAGGGUAGCUACUGCUUUAAGCAUACACAACAAGCAAGACAAAUAGUUUUGAUGAAUGUCAUUCUCUUUUACAUUCUGACUAGCCUUUGAUCCAAGAACCCCUUCAGAUCUUGAUUCUCCGUUCAAGGGACUGCAAAACCUUAGUUCUCUUCAAGAAUUGAAUGUCAUUUUCUCAUACUUUUGAUGGAGAAGGAACUUUCCUUGUUUGUUGAUUUUAAGACUUUGAAACUUUGAAACUCCAAACCAGGAACAAAUAUAUGAUCUUAUGAAAUAUGUUUUUUUGCAGAUACCUUUUACAUUCACCACCUUUAUAAAUCCUACUUAUUCAAAGGUAUUUCCUUUUCUUCCCUGCUCAUAUUAUGGAUAUUAUUGCUUUGCUUCCUAUCAACUGAUCCAUUAGUUUUGUCAAGAAAAACAACACCUGUAAUGCUGCAGCUAUCUUCAUGGCUGGUCUUGCUCCUAAAGCUUAAUCUUUUGUAUGUUCAAAGUAAGGAUUUAAUUAUUAUGGCACUUCUUUGAAGUGGAAGGUGGAGUUAGGAAGAUGUAUCUGUUGUAGUGGCUGUGACAUAAUUGCUACUAAAAUUAAGAGAUAUCAUUGUUGAUGAUUCUCUCCUCCAGUCCUCCUUGCUGGGAUCUGCCAAAAUUGACCAGUGGGUGUUCCACUACCAUGCCUUUCCGUGCUAAAUUAUUGAAACAGAAUUGGUCAAAUUUUACAGAGGUGACUCUGUUUUGAUUUGGUAGGCUGCACUUAUUAGGAGUCUCCAUGGCAAAAGGCCCUUGAGAUUUUUUUUUGUUCUGCACCAAGUCAACCAGUUUCAAAAGACAAGCCAGUUUAAGUAUAACAUCUUUGUGGUGUACCUUCUGAACUUUUUUCUGUCCCAAUUUUGAUGCCAUUUUCUUCUUGGGUUGGUCUUUCUUGGGUAUCAACAGUGACUGGGAAUUUUUGACGAAAUGGAGAUUUCUGACUGUCAGCUUCUGUUCUUCUCUGCAAGAACACUUCCAAUUCAGGAAAGGGAGAGACGGCCAUUAUAUAGCUCACAUUCGACACAAGGAGAUAGGCCUAGUGCUGCUCUAAUGAAGGUGGUGGUACAUCGAUAUAUAACCAGGUAUUUGUUCUAUGCUCAAAAUAAAUUUCUUCCAAAAAUAUUUGUUUCACUUAAAGAUUUUUCUCUUAACCCAACAAACUUUGUCCAAGAUAAUUCAUAUUUCAAUACAGCCAGCUUUCGUAUCUCUGUUUUUAUUUAGCAGAUUGCACUCGCUGGGAGUUCCUGUAGCAAAAGGUUGUGGUAACGCUUUAUUCUACUACCUAAAAAAGUGGACCACUUACCAAAGGCAGGGGGAUAAAAUUCUAACAUCUUUGUUCUAUAGUUGCCACUCAUUUCUUUCCAAAUUUUGAUGUCAUUUUGUUAUUGUUUUCGUUCUGGUGUUUGUUAGGUCUUGAUUGUUGGGGGAGUAUGUGAAGAUGUUCUAUUGUGUUGGGGUUACGGUCUUAGAAUUGAGAACCUUCUUGUGCUUCUAUCGGUGACCAUGGGCAUUGGUUCUCAUUGUUUGUAUGGACAAGAGUCAAUUGUAUAUCUGUAGAGAAAUAAUGUCUAAAGUUUUAAUGAAGGUUUACUCCAUGAGACUUGCAAGAAGAAUAUUGUAAUUAAAUUGAUCAACCUAUGAGACUUUUGGUAGUUCUGUUUGCUAUUUUGAUGUCGGUAUCAUCUUGAAGUGGUUCAGUGCAGUUUCCUCAUUAAACUUUAUGAUUUUAUAUGGAAAAGAUGAUUUUGAGCUUAUUCAUUGUCUUCAUGCAUUGUUCUUGAUUGUGACCAGAAAUUUAAUAUAUGUCUACUGCUGUGGAGAUGAUUAUUUAGAUCACUCAUGGAUCCCAUUCUCAACAGGAUUAUCUUCCUCAUCAAUUCUCUUCAUGCAUAAAAAAAUUUACUCCUAUUUUAUAUCAUCAAACUUCUUCAAGCCUAUUCUUUCAGUUUUUCUAAUUAUAAAGCAUUAUAAAAUUAGGUUGUGUACCAUCAAAAGCCCUUUUGAUUUACCAUUUUAGGGUUUUGAUUCUAUUGGAUUUGUUGUCAGCCCUAGCAAGUUCCUGUUUUAAAAUUUAAUCUGUAAUGUUAAGCCCUUUAAAAAGUGACAUUAUAAGUAUCAUUUUCCAUGGAAUAAUUCCUUAGAAAGUUCAUGGCAGAAUUUGAGUCCCAAUUUUCUUCAUGACAAAUAUGAGAACUCUGAAAGCCAUCUCUUCCCUAAACCAUUCCUGAUAAUCAAUUUUGAGAGUCAUAAAACUGUUUCAUCGAUGACAGCAGCUAAAUAUCAGGAAUUGCAGAGCCUCAACUCUCUUGAAGAAUUGUGUAUGUACAAAUACCAUUGCUCAUACUGUUAUUGGAACUAAGAGAGCAAAGCAUGCCCUAUUUUUGUUGGAUUUAAGAGUUUUAAUUUUCCUAAGAUAGAUACUUGGAAGCUGGAACAAGGAUAUGAAAGAGAUCAAGAAGAGAUUGAGCACAGGUUGGCCAAAAUGUUAAGCAUACAUAUUCAUUCAAAAACAUCCUUUGAGCAAUUUGAGAAUACCCACCAAUUCUCAAUUUUCUAUGACUUGUUUCCACUUCCAUAACAUCAAUGUCUGAACUUAUCUAUCUUACAGAGGCACAGAGAAAAUCAAUGAGAUCUGUAAUUGCAGAAUCACAGUUCAAUGAUACAUGUUGAGGCCUCGCGUCCCUGGUGAUCCACGUAGUUGCCAAAUGGGUGGACGCACGAUCUCAACCAAUAUAAGUUCUUGAUUCAGUCGGCCUACCUGCAAAAGGCAUCCGAACAGGGUGUCCGGACGCACCCUCCGAUGGUUUUGUCAACCAUGGUUAGAGAGAGAUAAAUCAGUUGGCCUUUUACUAGGUAUCAAAAGCUUACCUUCCUCUUUGUGUGAAGGCUUAUAUAUAUUGUUCCAGAAGCACUGUUUCCCUCUUUAAUGGUAGGGAGAUAUUUUGUGUUGUCAUGAUGACAUUAGGUGGCGGCAGGGCUAUCAUCACCCUACGGGCGGCUGAUAGAGAUCGUGGUAAGUGAUGCAGCUAUCAGAGAUCGUGGUAGGCGAUCAUGUGAAGUGAUCGUGAGAAGUGACUUGUUGUCACUUCAUCUUGUCCUUUCACUCUACAGGUGGCAGAACGUGGGCUAUGACAGGCUGUUGUGAUAACGUGUAAGACUUGCUUAUUUCAGUCAAUGAUCCGGACAAUCAUAUCCGGAUGGCCUAUGUUGGUCAUCCAGAUGUAUUGCGGAAGUCGUCCGGAUGUUAUGCUUAUUAGUGUCGUGUGCCUCUCCUUGAGGUAGUCCGGAUAGGAGAAGCGCGCCACGUGUACUCUUAGGGAAAUCCGAAUGAGGGUGAUCCGGAUGAUAAUGCGUGCCACAUGUCACCAUGAGGUGUGUGGCACGUGUUCUUAGGAGGAGGGGCCCCUACAAUGCCCCCCUUUUUAACUUGCCUAUUUUGCCCGAGCAAAAAAUGGGCGGGUUAAAAAAAUAAUUGGUUUUUUGAAACUGAAGUCGUCCUUUUUGUUUGUUUGGGCCACGUGGCGAGCGGGGGUGAGGAAGCCAAAAAAGCAUUUAUGAUGGGCCGCCGACUCUGGGUAUUCCCAAGCAGCAUGUCGUUUCAAUGAUGGCGCAACUGUGCGUUUGGUUUUCCGAGGGGCUGUCUCCCUAUAAAUAGCAUACUGUGUCUUCUGUUACAUUUUUCCUACUGCGUUUUUUUUCUGUCAGUGCUGCUUCUUCUUCCUUCUGUGCUUUCCUUUGUUUUUCUGAGUGAAGCCCUAGAAUUUUUCUGCCGGUGAUUUUUGCGUUCUUGCCGGUGACUGUACUGCGGAUUUCAACCCUACUCCUCCAGACUUACACUUGGUACGUGCAUUUGUUCUUGUCUUUUCCUUUGCUGCGUUUGGCUUUGUUGGUUUUGUUUCUGAUUUGUUUGGGUAAGUUGCUUGCGACUGUGUGUGUGAAUGUUGGUAUUUUUUGGUUUCUAGGGUUUUUUGAGGGUGUUUUUUACUGCUGGUACCUCUUUCGUGCAGCUUUACGAAACGAGAAGAUGUCUGCGAACCAGGAAGUGACUUCACCUAGCCCAUGCGGUGCUGCUCAUGCCAAAAAAUCUGUUGACAAAUUGAGCGUGAAGGAGUUCCAUGAGCGAUUUUGUAUUCCCAACGGUGUUUCUAUUGAAUUGACCGACGAGGAGGCUGUAUCGACUGAAAACAGUGAAGACCACGCUAUAUUUUUCAGCAAGGAGCAAUUCAACGCUGGGCUCCGGUUCCCCCUUCCGUCGCUGUUCAAGGAAUUCCUGCAUUUCACCCAGAUUCCCCCGGUGUAUAUUCAUCCGAAUAUGGUCCGAGUGUUGAUGGGAUGUAGCAUCCUGAAUAUGUUGUUUAACUUGGACCUCACUCUACUGGAUGUGUUGUUCAUCUACUCGAUCAAGAAGCUAAAGACUGAUAUCUUCAGCUUUGUUGCAUGCCUGCCGUCCAUGUAGUUGGUGACUAGUCUGCCGGACUCCACCAAGGGGGGUGCCAAGGGUCAUGUACUGGUCAAGGACGUAUGGGCAGGUUUGGCGGUUCAUCCGAACAGACCAUUCACCCCCAAUCAGUCGUUGAAAGUCCCAGGUAUUGAGAUGGUUGUGUUAAAGUAAGAAUUCACAUUGUAACUAUGUGAAUGGACUUUUUUGACAUCUAAGCUAGCUACUUUUGUUCUCUCUCCUUUUUCCUUUUUGAAUUCUCUCUUCUUUUAUGAAAAGUCCUCAAGUUGAAAAAGAGUCUUGUUACUCCUAUCUUUCUACAUUGUUAUUAUUUUCCAUUAAAAUGAACCACCAAAUAAAGUUAUAAUUUCAAAUCCACCUACGAUCCGUUUAUUUUAUUUUAUAAAUAAAUUUAAGUAUAAAAGACAAAACUAUUAUAAUGUAUGAAUAAAUAAAAGUGAUUGAUUUAGUCAUAUGACCAAUAUCAAAUAUUUGCUUUUGAUAUCAUUGUAAAAUCUUAUCAUUCAUUAACCAUCAAUGUAAAUAAUAGUUUUUCUUCAUCCCUUAAUCACUUUCCCUCAAAAUUUGUAGGACUUUUUUACAUCUAACACUUUUAUAUAUAUAUAUAUAUAUAUAUAUAUAUAUAUAUAUAUAUAUAUAUAUAUUUCCUUUUUUGAAUUCUUUCACUUCUUUUAUGAAAAGUCGAUGUACCUAGAAUAUUAGGUUGAAAAAUGAGUUAUGACAUGCCUAUCUUUCCUCAUUGUUCUAAUUUUUCAUAGAAAUGAUCCAACAAUUAAGUUGAAAUUUCAUUGGAAGAUGAUGGAUGGUGGCCAAUUGGUCAUGGCCAUGGAGUUGGUAUUAGUGGUCCUCUUAUGAUGUUCUCUAGGUAAAGUCAAAUAAUCUCAUUAUUCAAGACAACGAGCUUUGUCUUCUAUGGAAAAAAGAUAAUUAGGAGAGUUUGUCUUAGAACUAUAUAUCUAAGUAAAACAAGUCGCUAACAUGAUAUGGACAAAACUCCAAAUUUCAUCUAAGUAAUUCAUAUCCACAUAUAAUUCGAGGAACAAUUUAAUCUCCACCUCUUAGUAAAACUUUUUUAAAAUAAAAAUUAAUUUGUAAUCAUGUUAAGAACUCUAGUGGAUCUAAGUAAGAGUAUUUCUAAAAGUAGUGACACCAUCUAGAGGAGAAGAGUCUACUAAGUUUUUGGUUGCACCUAUCUCAAUUCAAUUCAAAAUGUUGUGGAUUAUUGAAAAUGAGUUUAUAAAAGAAAAUGAAAAUCUACUCAAAAAAUUUGAAUACUAAGAGUCUAAAUUCCAAGAAAUUUAUCUAAUGUGAAAUAAUUUUACUUUUGGAUGACAACCUAUGUUCUCUUUUUACUUUUUUUUUUUUGGCUUGUCAAACUAAAUUCUUAUUUUUUUGGCAAAUAGAAUGAGAUGGUUGGGUCUAUCAUAAUGUCAGGUCAAUCAUUCCAAUAAUGGAAUCAAUUUCUUAUGUUUAAGCACUCUAGAUUUACCACAGUGCAUGUCCAGUUAAUUAUUCAAGUAAGUGGAUCCAAACUUCUCUUUUUAAUAUCAUUCAUUACAAGCCACAAGAUUUAUAUGUUGAGCUUAUCUUAAUGUUAAAUUAGAUGCUGGUUCAAGCCAUGGAAUUUGAACUUCUCUUCACAACAAUCUUACUUAAUUUCGUUAAUUUUGAAGAAAUUGCUUUUUAAAUGGAAAAGGAUUGCCAUAAAAUUCUUUAUUGUGAUGAUUAAUUUAUCAUUUACAUCUAUACUUACCUAAUCUCAAUCCAUUUAAUUAUUUCAUUUAAUUUGAAAUUGGCUAUGUAAGUCAUGGUAAACUUUCGAAAUGCAAGUUUUUCAUGGAUGGAAGCAUAUAAAAAAAUUGAAUAUUAUUGUAUAGGAUGAUAUACAUUAUUAAUAUUAUAAAAAUAUCAAAUCAAAUUCGGUUAUACUUGAAUUGUUUGAACCUUGGUUCAACUCCAACUCAAAUUUAGUUCAGGUGGAAAAACUUAACCCUUGCCUAAUUAAGUGUUGAAAAUGAUUGUGCAAAUCCACCGAAAUAUUGGGUGGGAUCAAGUAUCCCAUUCAAAUUGCACCCUAAUGCUAAGGACCGUAUUUCCCUUUCUUUCUUUCUAUAUUCUUGAGGGGACUCUUUUACAUCUAGUUACUCUUUGACAUCUAGCUACUUUUUUUUUCACUUUUGUGAAAAGCUAAUGUCCAUGGACCCUUAGGUUGAAAAAUGAGUUAUAUAUAACUUGCCUAUCUUUCCACAUUGUUGUUUUCUCAAUAGAAUUCAAAUCGACAUCCUUUUACAACAGAAUGAUGGGGAGUGAUCCUUUGGAUGUGAUGAUACAAAUUUGAUUUGGUUGUACAUUAUUUGGGAGAAACAAAGUCAUGUAAAUUUAUUCAUAUGUUAUAUGGGUGUAUUUGGGCAAAGUACAUUGAUAAGUUCUCAGUUGACAUUUAUUUAACACUGACUGUUGUCGCCUCGCGUAUCCGGUGAUCCACGUUGCUGCUAGAGGGAUGGACACGUGAUUCUCAACACACAAGGGGUUCUUGAUUCAGCGAUUGCACCUGCAAAAGGCAUCCAGACAGGGUGUCCGGACGCACCCUCCGAUGGUUUUGUUAGCCAUGGUGAAAGAGAGAUAUAUAAAUCAGUUGGCCUUUUACUAGGUAUCAAGAGGUUACCAGGGGAUCAGCCUUUUCUUCUUCGUGUGAAGUCAUAUAUAUACAGCUUCAGGGGUACUGCUCCUUUCAUUAAUGGUGAGAAGAUAUUUUAUGUUGUGAUGAUGAUAAUAGGUGUCAGUAGGAGCACUAUCAUCCUACGAACGGUUGUCAGAGACCAUGGUAGGUGAUGCGGCUGUCAGAGAUCGUGGGAAGCGAUUAUGUAGAAUGAUCGUGGGAAGUGACUUGCUGUCACUUCCUCUUGUCUUCUCAUUCUGCAGGUGAUGGGAUGUGGGCCAUGGCUGCUUGUUGUGAUUGCGUGUAAGACUCGCUUUACUUUAAUUGACCAUCCAGACGAUUUAUAUCCGGAUGGAUCAUGCUGAUUAUCCGGAUGUGUUGUGGAGACUAUCCGGGUGUCUACGCUCUGCCAGCGUCGUUUGCUCUUCCUUGGAUAGGAGAAGCUGAAACGUCGUUUGUCUUUCCUUGAGGGGUUCCGGAUAGGAUAGCCGCACCAUGCAUAUCUUUAGGGGAAUCCGGAUGAUGAUGGUCCGGCUGAUAACACGUGCCACGCGUCACCAUGAGCUGCGUGCCACGUGUUUCCCAAGGGAAGGGGUCCCUACAUUGCCCCCCUUUUUAACUUGCCUAUUUUGCCCAAAAAAUGGGCGGGUUAAAAAUAACUGGGUUUUUGAAAAUUGAAAAAGUCCAUUCGUCUAACUUGGCCACGUGGCGAGUGGGGGUGCGGAAGCCAAAAAAGGCAUUUAUGGCGAGCCGCCGACCCUGUGUAUCCCCAGGCAAUAUGUCGUUUCAAUGAUAACAUGGUUGUUGGUUUGCCUUUCCGAGAGGCUGUCCUGCUAUAAAUAGGGUACUGUACCUCUUUUUGCAAUUUUUCCUACUGCAUUCUCUUGAGAGCCUUUCUUCUUACUGCUUUUUCCUGCGUCCUUUGCUUCUCUGAGACAAACUUCGAAAGCUCUUUUGUACCGGUGCUUUUGUAUCGCGACUUUGUUUGUUUGCUGCUGGUGAUUUUGUAUCAAGGCAGUACCCGUUCUUCUUCUUCGGUGCUUUAUUUGGUACGUACCUCUUUGCUACUGCCAUUCCUUUGGUUGCAUUUGCUGGCUCUUUAAAUUUGUUUUCUGGCUUGCUUGGGCGUUGUUUUGGACGAGUCGUUUGCAAUUGUUGUUGAAUGUUGGUACUUUGUUGUUGUUUGGAGGGGUUUUUGAGGGGUUUUUCUGACUGUUUUGGGUUAGGGUUUGUGUAUUUUCUGACUGCUUGGUUUGAUUCGCUGUAUUGCUUUUGUAUGUAGAUUUUGAUUUAGCUUUGUGGUAAAAAAUGGCUCCAAAAAAGGCUGUUUCAUCUGUCCAGGUUAGCGAAGCUAGCGAAAAGGCGAUAGACAAAUUAAAUGCGAAGGAGUUCCGGGAGCGAUUCCGCAUCCCCCAUGACGUAUUGAUAGACUUGGUGAACGAGGAGGCGGCUAUGCCUACUGAGAAAGGUGGAAAAAACGUUAUCCUCUUCACAAAGGAACAAUUCAACGCGGGGCUCUGGUUCCCUCUGCCGGCGUUGUUCAAGGAAUUCCUCCACUUCUCUCAGAUUCCACCCAUCUUCAUUCAUCCCAACCUUGUCCGGGUGCUGAUGGGAUGCAACAUCAUCAACAUGCUGUACAGCCUCGACCUUACGCUACUGGAAUUGUUCUUUGUCUAUUCCCUGAAGAAAGCAAAGAAUGAUAUCUUCAGUGUGUCUGCUCACCUGCCCUCCCUUCAAAUGGUGACAGAACUGCCAGAUUCGACAAAGGGAGGGGCGAAGGGGCUGGUGGCAGUCUGGGGUGGAUGGGCGGGGCUAUCGCAGCAUCCGUCGAGGCCUUUUUCUCCGAAUUAUACCUUAAAAAUUCCGGGUAAUCUUGUUUUGUCAUUUUUUGUCCGGAUUUUGCUUUGCUGAUUUUUUCUGAUUUUUCCGGACGGAAUUCUCACCUUUUGUUGCUGACAAUGCAAGUUUGGAAUUGAGGGGCCACCUUGUGGAUUGGGUGGAAAAGGCGUCCUUUGCCUGCGUCUGCAAAUUAUUCGAAAUAGAUCCCAAGGAGAGGGCCUACAAAACAUUGCUUUCCGCGCGGAAUUUGAUAGAGGUCGUCCGGGAGCCCCAGGAAUAUGUUAUCAAUAUUCUUCCUAGGAAACUGGCAAAGGAUGAGAUAGUGCUUGGGGAGCAUUAUACUGUGAAGGAGCUCCCCCUCUAUCAGGAAGCUAAAGAGGCUGACGCUGAAAGGCGGCGAAAGCUCCUGGAGGAUAGAGAUCAGAAAAAAACUGAAGGCACUAUCCGGAAGGCUCUCGGACAGAAGGGGGGUCCGGACCCUCCUUCAAAGAAAAUUCCAGGAAAGAGGGGGAAGCUAGUGAAGAAGCAUGGGAAGGAUGUGAAGGAACCCACUCCUCCCAAGGAGUUUCCUCCUCCACAAACUACCUAUGAGGGGGAAGUAAUGAUAGAGGAGCCAGUAAAUGCUGCUCCGCACUCUAUCUCAAGCGGCCCCGGACGCAUGUCGGGGUUGAAUCACUCAGGUCCUUCCUUAGUCUCGACUGCGCGUCUGGCUAACGUGGCUGAGGAAGCUGCAUCUAUCAACCAUCCGGGCGACCUUAAUCCGGAUGCUGAUGCAGCUGAAACGGCCCCGUUGGAGGAAGCGGGGGCAGAAAGCCAAAGUCAGCCUUCCGACGACCCGGAUCGCUUGGCCAUAGUCCUGGUGAAAGGGCCUCCCCUCAAGAAGCCGCGUUUGACGCGCGAUCUACAGUCCGGACUCUUUGAGCGGCUUUAAGAGCGGCAGCAAGAGAUUGAAAUUAGCUGCGCUUCUGCCCAUGACGCUCAUCCGGAUGGAGGCGAGGUGGAGAUGGCUACUGAGACCUCAGCCGCUCCGACAAUAAUUCCGGCUGAGGAUGCAUCCGGACCUAUGUGUCCGGACGAAGAUAUGGGGGUUCCGAUUCCGGGACAAGAGUUACCAUCUCCUUCCUCACCUGAGGAGGAAUCUGCUGACGAUGCCGCUCCCGCUAGCCCUUUCAGCUACGCGGAGUUGGAAGUUAAGUUAAAGCAGAUUACACCUGAUUGGAGAGCCAUCAAGCCCUCUGCUCAGAUGUUUGAUAUGAUAGAAACGGUAUAUCGUUGUCUUGUGUUUUUGCUUUUUGACUUUUUGUUGCACUGAUGUGUUUGUUGUAGUAUGAUUUAUGUCUUUGCUUUUCUUGUUUGUGUGUCAGCUGGUGAGGGGCCUCCGCAGCAUGUCUCAACAACACGAUCUUUUUAUUCAGCUGCUGCAGACUGCAGACUAUAUGAGGACCUUCUCCUCUCGGCGCCAAGAGAUUGAAAAUCAACUGCGUCUGAGAAUGGAGGAGGCUGAGGCCAGUCUAUCCACCAUGCGAGAGGAAAAUGAAGCCCUCCGGGUGGAGUUGGCUGAGGCAAAGGGUCGAGAAGAAUCAACUGCGGGCCGCCUUCAUGAGGCGGAGGGUGAGGCAGCCCGGCUAAGGGAUGAAUUGAGUCAACUCCGGACAGAAGUUUUGAAUGAAAAGAAACAGAAGGAAGACUUGCAGCUGCGCCUGGAUGUGCAAAAAGAGGAACUUGAACGGGAGUUUGCUGUGGAAAGAGAGGAACUUGCAGCGGAUUACCAGCAACAAGUGGAUGAUACGUUUAUCUUUGGGUAUCGCUGCUGCAUGAAGAAGAACGGCAUUAAGCGAGAUACCCCUACAAUUCCUCCGGGUGAAGAAAAGAAGCUCCAUGAGAAGCCUGCUCCCUGAUAGUUUAUCUCUUUUUGCAAUUUUUCUGCUGUAAUUUUUCCUUCUGUAUUUUUUUUGUGGUCCGGAGAUCUCUUUGUAAUUACAUUUACUCAUAUCAAUAAAACAUACUUCUUUCUCAUUUGCACUUGUGUAUACUUUCUACUGAUAGUACUGCUUUAAAUUGGACACAUUCCAUGGUCUGAGUAACGGAGUGCCAUCUAGCUUUUGUAAAUGAUAGGCUCCAUUUUCGUUUGCCUUAGACACUAUGUAGGGUCCUUCCCAAUUGGCUUGGAACUUUCCCGCGCCUACUUCAGCAGUAUUUUCAAAAACUUUUCUAAGUACUAGCGUACCAUUUUUGAAGUUUCUGGGCCUGACUUUUCGAUUGUAAUGCGCUGAUGCCCUUUGUUGAUAAUCUGCCAUCCGGAUGGACGCGCUUUCUCUGACUUCGUCUGCCCAGUCCAAAUUUCUUCCUAGUUCCGUGUUGGCGUCUUUUUGCUUUGCUGCAUCAGUCCGGAUAGUAGGAAGACCUAUUUCAGUGGGAAUGACUGCAUCCAUUCCAUAUGUGAGGGCAAAAGGAGUAUUUCCUGUUGGUCGUCCGGGUGUGGUUCGAUAGGCCCACAGGACGCCGGGUAGCUCCUCCACCCACUUCCCUUUGGCUUGCUCCAGCCUUUUCUUCAAGGCAUUGAUUAGAGUUUUGUUUGUGGCUUCCGCCUGGCCAUUGCUUUGAGGAUAACGUGGCGUGGAGUAUGAAUUCCGGAUAUUCAAUUCCGAACAGAAAUUCCUGAAUGCAAUGCUGUCAAAUUGUGGACCAUUGUCAGCUAUGAUGAUUUGGGGAAUUCCAAAGCGGCAAACAAUGUUCUUCCAUACGAAUUUGGUGACAUCUUUAUCUUUGAUGCUUGCAUAUGCUUCAGCUUCUACCCAUUUACUGAAGUAAUCAGUGGCGACAAGGAGGAAUUUCUUCUGGGCGGGUGCUGCUAGGAGGGGUCCCACUAUGUCCAUGCCCCACUGCGCGAAAGGCCAUGGGCCUGAGACCGAUUUUAAUGCGGCUGAUGGCAUGCGCGGAAUGGGAGCGUAUCUUUGACAUUUAUUACACUUUUGAACAUAUGCUGCCGCGUCUUUCUUCAUUAUUGGCCAAUAGUACCCCUGUGAAUGAGCUCUAUGUGCUAGGGAUCGUCCUCCCGUAUGAUUUCCGCAUAUUCCUUCAUGUAAUUCAGCUAGCACAUACUGGGCCUCUGAAUGCCCAAGACAGCGAAGAUAAGGCCCUAUGAAAGAUCGCUUGUACAGGUGCCCCCCGAUCAGGGUGAAGCGGGCAGCCUGCACCCGGAUUUUGUGUGCUUGUUUAAGAUCUUUGGGUAAAGUGCCUGUCCGGAGAUAUUCUGCAAUAUCAUGCGUCCAUUCUUGAUUAUCCGUUUGGGUUGCCUCAACGGUGUUGCAAGUGGAAUUUUCUGCGACAAAGGGAUUGGCUUGCACAUGUAUGGGCAAUAGAAUGACUUCUUUGAUAGGUAGAGAGGCAGCUAUGCCGGCCAAAGCGUCAGCGUGCCUAUUGUCAGCUCGCUUAAUUUUUUCGAUUGUCCACUCGGUGAAUUGCUGUAAGGUGCUUCUUACUUUGGCCAAGUAUCGCGCCAUGCGUGAGUCCUUAGCCUCAUAUUCUUUCUGGACGUGCCUUACCACUAGUUGCGAGUCGCUGUAGAUCCGGAGUUUGGAGACGGAUAGAGCAAGGGCGAGGUCCAAUCCGAACAGGAUGGCCUCGUAUUCUGCUUCAUUGUUAGACGCGGAGAAUCCCAGCCGGAUGGCUUGCUCCAGAUGUUCCCCAGUUGGGGACUGUAAUAAGAGCCCAACUCCAGAGCCUGAUGAGCGUGAGGCUCCGUCAACUCGUAGUGUCCACCACUCCUGUUCACUUGAUUCGUGGUGCUGGUUGGGUCUUCGUGAAUAUUCGAGCACAAAGUCGACCAUUACUUGGCCUUUUUUGGAUAAUCUGGGUUGGAAUUCGAUUCCAAAUUCGCUCAAUUCGAUGGCCCAUUGUAGCAUUCGCCCGGUUAAAUCUGGUUUGUGCAGAAUGCUACGAAGGGGUUGGUCGGUCAAUACAAUCACUGGGUGGGCUUGAAAAUAGGGGCGGAGCUUUUGGGCAGCACUUCGAAGAGUUAAGGCUGUUAGCUCCAUUUUUGAAUACCUGGUUUCUACAUCUGCCAAUGCCCUGCUGACAUAGUAGACAGGUUUCUGCUCCUUUGGUGAAGGGCAGCGGAAUAGAACGGCGUUGAUUGCCCAUUCUGAGACAGCUAGAUACAUGUAUAGCUUCUCCUUUGGGAUGAGGCUGCUCAAGAUGGGUGGAUGCAUAAGACAAUGUUUAAUUCUUUCCAACGCGUUUUGGCAAUUGUCCGUCCACCCCUGCGUUCCAGCUUUUCGUAUUGCCAAGAAGAAGGGUCGCAACUCAUCAGUGAAGCGGGCUAUGAAACGUCCUAACGCAACGAGCUUGCCUAUGAGGCGUUGUAACUCCUUUUUGUUCCUGAGAGGAGGUGUCUCCAUGACUGCUUUGACCUGAUCCGGGCUGACUUCUAUGCCUCUUUGGCUGACCAUAAAUCCCAGAAAUUUGCCAGCACUCACGCCAAAGGCACAUUUGGAAGGAUUUAGCUUCAUGCCAUACUUUCGCAAGAGAUAAAAAACUUCUUGUAAAUGGAGGAUAUGCUGCUCUCGCGUUUUGCUUUUAACUACGAUAUCGUCAAUGUAUACUUCGACCGAGCGGCCUAUCAGAGGUUUGAAGAUUUUAGUCAUCAAUCUUUGAUACGUGGCGCCAGCGUUCUUGAGUCCGAAUGGCAUGACUUUGUAGCAAUAGAGGCCGUGUGGCGUUAUGAAUGCUGUUUUUUCUUCGUCAUCCGGGGACAUGGGGAUUUGAUGAUAUCCGGAGAAGGCAUCCAAGAAAGAGAGCAUCCCCUGUCCGGAAGUGGAAUCCACAAUCUGAUCUAUUCGUGGUAAGGGGAAACUAUCUUUUGGACAUGCACUGUUGAGAUUGGUGUAAUCUACACAAACUCGCCAUUUUCCUUCUUUUUUGGGUACCACGACUACGUUUGCCAGCCAAUCCGGAUACGAAACUUCUCUGAUGAAUCCGGCUUCGAGCAAUUUAUCAAUCUCGUUCCGGAUGAUUCUUUGUCUAUCCGGGUGGAAGCGCCUAAUCCUCUGCCGGACGGGUCUGGUAGUUGAAAAGACGUUAAGCCUGUGAGAUGCAAUGGAGGGAUGAAUUCCCUUCAUGUCAGAAUGUGCCCACGCGAAGAUGUCAUGGUUCUGUCUGAGGACUUUUUGCAUGCCGCGAGUUUCUUCUUGUGUCAUGAGGGAACUGAUGUUUGUGAGGUGAUCACUUUCCUCCGAAAUUUGGAUUGUCUGUAAGGGAUCUGCUACCGGGGGAUCUUUGUCCGCCGGAUCCAAUAAUUGCUAUUGGUCGUGCGCAAUGCUAGGUUCAGGGGGAGAUGCAUCCUCCUGGUUAGCGACUGCCUCGCGUGCUAUUUGAUAGCACUGGCGAGCGGCUAAUUGGCUGCCAUACAAGUCGGUUUGCCCUUCGUUGGUGAGGAAACUCACCAUUUGAUGAUAUGUGGAAGGGAUGGCUUUCAUGUAGUGGAGCCAUGUGCGUCCCAAGAUGACAUUGAAGGGUGAUAACUCUUGUACCACCGAGAAUUGUACGUUGAGAGUGACUGGACCAGCUUGGACCGGCAGUAUAAUGUCUCCUAUGGAUGUGGUUGAUGACCCAUUGAAUCCGGAUAAGAUUCGUCCGGGGUUUUCGAGACCCGCGAGACUAUGUCCCAUAUGGCCAACGACUGAUGCUUGCACCAGAUCGGCUGAACUGCCUGGGUCGACCAAGAUACGUCUUACAUCAAACUCUCCUAUUUCUAGGGAGAGGAUGAGGGCGUCGCGAUGUGGCUGUAGCGUCCGGGUGGGAUCUGCUGGUGGGAAAAUGAUUGUCCCAUCUAUGGGGCGAGGGCCCUCUCCAGUAAGACCCGGCCGGAUGGAAUUAAUGCGUUCGCGUAUUGACGCGGCUCGCAGCAAUUUCUGCUUUUUCCUUCUGGAAUCAUAUUCCUCGUCAGAUGGGCCCCCGUUGAUAUAGUUUAUGACAGCCUUGGGGGCGAUUGGGGCACUCGGGGCCCCAGAGUUACGAUGUUGAGAUACGUCUCUUCCUCCAGUAUCUGAGCGGAUGUACUGUUUUAAAUGUCCUGCUUUGAUGAGCCUUUCAACUAGAUACUGGAGGGACCGACAUGUCUCUGUUGUAUGACCAUGGUCUUUGUGAAAGGCGCAUUUCUUGCUGCGGUCUCUUAUGGAUGGGUCCGUUUCGAGGGGUCUAGGCCACCUGAAGUCGGACAACCCUUGGAUCAUUGGGAGAAGCUUUUCGUAUGAUAUGGAUAGGGGUGUGAUGGGCGGCCUAUCCGGACGACUCGGCCCGUCCUGCCUCCGGUCAACUGGUUUUGGCCGGUCCGGAGGUUUGGCAUGUUUGUCCGUGUUAUCUCUAGAAGCCCGUCCGGCAACCAAAACUUGCUGGGUGGCUGCACGUACGUCAUCUUCGAGCAUUGAAUAUUUGUUAGCACGUCUGAACAAAUCGUCCAUCGUUGUAGGAGGCUUUUUGGCCAGCGAUUCAAAAAAUGGAGUGCCUGGACAGAUGCUUCUUUUGAAGAUCUGUAGGAUAGCAUCCAUGCUGCAAACCUCUAUUUGGAGUACGGCUUGGCCAAAUCGUUUCACAAAUUCGCUCAAGGAUUCGUUGUCUCUCAUUUUUAUGUUCUGGAGGGUGCUGAUAUUCUGCUUGUGUCGAGCAGAGCACAAGUACUGUCCCACGAAUGCUUCAGAGAGGUCCCUGAAAUUGUCAACAGAGUUAGGAGGUAGGCGAUGAAACCAUGAGAGGGCCUGCCCUUGAAGGCUGGCGGGGAAUACUUUGCAUAGCAAUGCAUCGUUGCCAAUAUCGAGCGUCAUGAGCUGUCGAUAGUGCAUGAUGUGAUCGAAGGGAUCGUUGGUCCCAUCGUAUGUGGAAAACUUUGGUACGAGGAAUCCCCUUGGGGGCUCGUAAUGGGUGAUAUGAGAGCAAAAGGGCAUGGAGAGCAUGUCAUCCAGCCUUUUGCUGAUGGAGCCAAUGGGUGGCUCGUUUGGGAGGUUUCUCCCAGCUGGUCGUUCCGCUAGGUGUGAGUGAACGUUCCGCAUCGCUGGGGUGACCAUGGGGUCACGAUGCGGAGGUACGUUCUGCACCAUGGGAGCGAUCAUAGGAUCGGGGCGUGGUGCCCGGGUUGUGGCUACUGGUGGCCUUGAUCUCCCAGGCUCUUGUGGGCCUAGUCUUGCGCGCAUAGAACUUGACAACUGUGAUUUUCUAUCACGUUGUCUUUUUGCUGAAAAAUGAGUGGAAUCUGAGCUUUCCUCACGGGGAGCUCGAGGCAUGGGCGUGCGUGGCUCAUGGGGCCUUGCGUUGUAUGCUCUUGGGGCAGCUCCUGUUGACCCAGGAUAUAUCGAUUCUGGCUCUGGCCUUGAAUUUGCCACCUGGCCUCUUGAAUGUUGACGACGAGGAGGACCUAACGUUGAGGCUUGAAUGCGUAACACAGCGUUUUCUUCCCUUAACCUCUCCGUCUCCUGGAGGAGAGCUCUUAGUUGUUUUUCGCUCGCCAACUGUCUUUUUUCGAUGGCUUGACGCCAUUCGUAAUUAUCUUCCUCCUUUCUACCAGAUGAUCGACUUUGGGAAGGUGUGGCCAUCUUUGCUAGUGACUGAAUCAGAAUAAAAAGUAAAAGUUUCCCACAGACGGCGCCAAUGUUGUCGCCUCGCGUAUCCGGUGAUCCACAUUGCUGCUAGAGGGAUGGACACGUGAUUCUCAACACACAAGGGGUUCUUGAUUUAGCGAUUGCACCUGCAAAAGGCAUCCGGACAGGGUGUCCGGACGCACCCUCCGAUGGUUUUGUUAGCCAUGGUGAAAGAGAGAUAUAUAAAUCAGUUGGCCUUUUACUAGGUAUCAAGAGGUUACCAGGGGAUCAGCCUUUUCUUCUUCGUGUGAAGUCAUAUAUAUACAGCUUCAGGGGUACUGCUCCUUUCAUUAAUGGUGAGAAGAUAUUUUAUGUUGUGAUGAUGAUAAUAGGUGUCAGUAGGAGCACUAUCAUCCUACGAACGGUUGUCAGAGACCAUGGUAGGUGAUGCGGCUGUCAGAGAUCGUGGGAAGCGAUUAUGUAGAAUGAUCGUGGGAAGUGACUUGCUGUCACUUCCUCUUGUCUUCUCAUUCUGCAGGUGAUGGGAUGUGGGCCAUGGCUGCUUGUUGUGAUUGCGUGUAAGACUCGCUUUACUUUAAUUGACUAUCCAGACGAUUUAUAUCCGGAUGGAUCAUGCUGAUUAUCCGGAUGUGUUGUGGAGACUAUCCGGGUGUCUACGCUCUGCCAGCGUCGUUUGCUCUUCCUUGGAUAGGAGAAGCUGAAACGUCGUUUGUCUUUCCUUGAGGGGUUCCGGAUAGGAUAGCCGCACCAUGCAUAUCUUUAGGGGAAUCCGGAUGAUGAUGGUCCGGCUGAUAACACGUGCCAAGCGUCACCAUGAGCUGCGUGCCACGUGUUUCCCAAGGGAAGGGGUCCCUACACUGACCACUAUGGGAUGGUGAGGGCUUUCGACUGUUUUUGGACACAAUGAUAACAAUAAUCAAGUUGUAUAACAAUUGUAUGUAGUAUAUUAGUUCCUCGGUUGUGAGAACUUGGAGAAUAUGGAACACGAUGUUAGCGCUAUGGUGAAGAUAGGUGUGGAGGUUGAUUUUGCACACAUUAAUUAUGAUGAAAGUGACAGUUGCACCAUCUAGGAAAGUUGCACAUAAAAAUGAUUGUAAUUGUAUGACAUUUGUAUAGGGACUAUAGUACACAAAUUUCUGGUUGUAAAUGUAUCUUAAUGGUUAUAGGGACUUUUGUUAUCAGAAUUAUGCAUGGAAUUUAAUUGAUUGAUUUUACAUUUCAUAAUAGGGUAUUAAGUGUUUGGACUAUAAUGGAUUUUUAUUUUUAUUUUUUGUAUUUGUUUUAAUAUAUUAUGUCAUUGUGUUUCAAUUUUGUAAGCUGCUUGAUUCAAGCUAAUGCUAACUAUUUAUAUGCUAUUCUCUCUUAUUUCAAUUCAUAUAAUUACUUCAUUCUAUUUUUUUUGUUAAAUAAAUAAAUUAUGUCUUCUAAACACACGUCUGAGUAUGGAUUGCAACUUAUAAAAUUGUAAAAAAUAAAAUAAAAUUAUAUCAUAUUUUUUAUAUUUUAAGAAUUUUUAAUAUAAGCUCUUAAUCUAUAUCAAUAAAUCUAAUCUACUAACAGGUGAAAAAAAGAAAUUUAUGUACAAAGAAUUGAGAUUAAAAUAUAAAAAAAAAUUAAUCAACAUUACAAUGUGAAUAAAUGGGAUGUAUAUAAUUAAUAUUGAUUACUUUUGGCAUCAAGGAAAAAUCUAACCAUGUGACAACCACAUCACUCUUUAAUGCGCUUUUCAACAUAUGGCUACUUUUAUUCUUUUUCCCUUUUGCUUCUUCAAUUCUUUAACUUCUUUUGAGAAAAGCCAAGUACAUGGGCCCUUUUAAGUUGAAAAAUGAGUCAUAGCAUGCUUAUCUUUCCACAUUGUUCUAAUUUUUCAUAGAAAUGAUCCAACAAAUACAUUGAAAUUGUAUUGGAAGAUGAAGGGUGAUUGCACCAAUUGGCCAUGGCUAUGGAGUUGGUACUAGUGUUCCUCUAAUAAUGUUCUCCAGGUAAAGUCAAAGUAUUUUUGCCUUCUUCCCCUUUACUUUAAUUACCAUUUUAUCGAUUUGAUUAGUGUAAUUAUCUGAAAAUAUAUAUCAUUAAUAUUUCUCUAAUCUUGGAUUGGAUUUAAAUUGAUUAGAUUGUCUAAUUUAAAAUCCAUUCAUAAUUUUUUCUACUAUAUUUAUACAAAAAUUUAAAUAGUAAAAUAAAAUUUUAAAAUAGUAAUAAAAAAAAGUAGAAAUAAAUUUACAUACCUUUAAAAAAAAUGAAAAAUUACAUGAUAUGAUUAUAAUUUGAUGUUUUUAAAAAAAUAUAAAAUAUAUAUAUUAUUAUGUAAAAAAUAUAUAUUAUAAACAUGAUGAAAAUAUUAAAUCAAGUUUAUUAUCUGUUGACAAAUAGAAUGAGAUGUUUAGGUCUACUAUAAUGUCUAGUCAAUCAUUCGAGCAAGGAGAUUGGCUAUGUAAAUCAUGGUAAGCUUUCUAAAAGCAAGGUUUUCACGGAUGGAAGACCAUAAAAUUUAGAAAGAUUCCAUUAUAUUUACAUCUUUCACUUCCAUCAUAGAAAGCAGACAUACAUGAAUGGGCCAUGGGUUGAGUGAUGGCACACCUAACUUUCCACAUUGUCGUCAUUAAUUUCCAACAAAAAUAAUUGACGGCAUUGAGUUCUUAUUGGAGCAAAGAAAGCUGCUACUCCAUUCCUAUUCUUCCUAACGACGUCUUGUGUCUUUCAUUUCCACUUCGCAUCUGCUAACCUUCAUCUUCCCCUCAAUUCCUUCACUUCCUCUGCAGAGAAACAGGCAUGGCCCUAGAGAUAUUUGCAGGAGCUUUUCUCUCCGCUUCUCUCCAUGUUCUUUUCGACAGGUUGGCUUCUUCCGAGGUAUGGACCUUCAUCGGGGGACAGAAGGUCAGUGAGGAACUCCUUCUGGAGUUGGGGAUGAAAUUGCUGGUUGUGGAUAAAGUGCUCGACCAUGCUGAGGUAAAGCAAUUUACAGAUGAACGAGUCAAAAGGUGGUUGGUGCGCGUUAAGAAUGCUGUGUAUGAUGCGGAAGACCUACUGGACGAGAUUACCACAGAAGCUUUGCGACGCAAGAUGGAAGCUGCUGACUCCCAGACUGGCCCAACUCACGUACUGAACAGCUUUUCCACAUGGUUUAAGGCCCCACUUGCUGAUCAUCAAAGCAUGGAAUCUAAGGUAAAGAAGAUCAUCGGAAAACUGGAAGUUCUUGCACAAGCAAUAGAUGUGCUUGCUUUGAAGGGUGAUGGUAAGAAACUGCCACAAAGAUUACCCUCGACUUCUCUGGUGGAUGAAUGUUGUGUGUACGGCAGGGAUGAAAUUAAAGAGGAGAUGAUUAAAGGGUUGUUGUCUGAUAAUACAGGUCGCAACAAGAUAGAUGUGAUCUCCAUAGUCGGCAUGGGCGGCGCAGGCAAGACCACCCUGGCUCAGCUUUUGUAUAAUGAUGGGAAAGUGAAAGGACACUUUCACCUGAAAGCAUGGGUUUGUGUUUCGGAGGAGUUUUGUCUUCUCAAGGUGACAAAAUCAAUUCUUGAGGGAAUAGGAUCUGCGGCCUCUUCUCAUAUGCAAAGCGAGAACCUGGAUUUGCUUCAGCAAAACUUAAAAGAUAGCCUUGGUGACAAGAAAUUUCUACUCGUUCUGGAUGAUGUUUGGGAGAAAUGUCCUAGUGAAGGGGCAGGGUUACGAAUUCCGCUCCUAGCUGCUUGGGAAGGGUUACGAAUUCCACUCCU
rnacentral:lncRNA from 1 species